CGCGCCCGCCCGCCCUUCCCGGAGCCUGGGCGGGCGGCCGCGAGCGUUCGAGCCCGGGCUACACCGCGUGCAGGCCAGACCCCAGCAUGCCUUCCGAGACGCCCCAGGUGCAGGAGGGGCCUGCGCGCUGCCCCCACCUCUCGGGGGACAUGGACGCCAAGGGACGCCAGUGGAUCCGGCCCGACACGCCCAGCAGGUGCUCCUGGCAGCUGGGCAGGCCCGCCUCCGACUCCCCGCACCGCCACACUGCCCCGGUGAGUCCCCCCAAGAUCUUGCCGAACAUCCUGCAGAAGAUCGGGAACACGCCCAUGGUGAGGAUCAACAAAAUCGGGAAGGACUUUGGCCUCAAGUGUGAGCUGCUGGCCAAGUGCGAGUUCUUCAACGCGGGUGGGAGCGUGAAGGACCGAAUCGCCCUGCGCAUGAUCGAGGACGCCGAGCGGGCCGGCACGCUGAAGCCCGGGGACACCAUCAUUGAACCCACGUCGGGGAACACGGGCAUCGGGCUGGCUCUGGCCGCUGCCGUGAAGGGUUACCGCUGCAUCAUCGUGAUGCCGGAGAAGAUGAGCAACGAAAAGGUGGACGUCCUGCGGGCCCUGGGCGCGGAGAUCGUGAGGACGCCCACCAGUGCCAAGUUUGAUGCCCCGGAGUCUCACGUGGGUGUGGCGUGGAGGCUGAAGAACGAGAUCCCCAACUCUCACAUCCUCGACCAGUACCGCAACGCCAGCAACCCCCUGGCCCACUACGACACGACAGCCGAGGAGAUCCUGCAGCAGUGUGACGGAAAGCUGGACAUGCUGGUGGCCUCGGCCGGCACCGGGGGCACCAUCACGGGCAUCGCCAGGAAGCUGAAGGAGAAGUGUCCCAGCUGCAAAAUCAUUGGGGUGGACCCCGAAGGCUCCAUCCUGGCCCAGCCCGAGGAGCUGAACCGGACGGACCUGACGGUGUAUGAAGUGGAGGGCAUCGGCUAUGACUUUGUGCCCACGGUGCUGGACAGGGCGGUGGUGGACAAGUGGAUCAAGAGCAACGAUGAGGAGUCCUUUGCGGUGUCCCGCAUGCUUAUUGCCAAGGAGGGGCUGCUGUGCGGCGGCAGCGCGGGCAGCACCGUGUCGGCGGCCCUGAAGGCGGCCCAGGAGCUGCAGGAGGGCCAGCGCUGCGUGGUGAUUCUGCCGGACUCCGUGCGCAAUUACAUGUCCAAGUUCCUGAGCGACAAGUGGAUGCAGCAGAAGGGCUUCCUGGAGGAGGCGGCCCUGGCGGGGAAGAAACCAUGGUGGUGGCACAGGAGGGUGCAGGAGCUGAAGCUGGCGCCGCCACUCACAGUGCUCCCCACGGUGCUCUGCGACCACACUAUUGAGAUCCUGCGCGAGAAGGGCUUCGACCAGGCGCCGGUGCUCGACGAGUCGGGGGAGAUUCUGGGCGUGGUGACGCUGGGGAACAUGCUGUCGUGUCUGCUGGCCGAGAAGGCGCAGCCUGGGGACCCGGUCCGCAGCGUCGUCGAGAAGCAGUUCAAGCAGGUGCGGCCGUCGGACACGCUGGGCCAGCUGUCGCGCGCGCUGGAGGGCAGCCCAUUCGCCCUGGUGCUGCAGGAGCAGGCGCAGCAGCCCGGCCUUGCCCAGAGACCCGGCGUGCUGGCUGUGGUGACGCCCAUCGACCUGCUGGACUUCGUGGCCGCGGGCGAGAGGGCCGGGAGCCGCCCGGGGAGCGCCUAGGACGGCCGUGGGCGCGCCGGGAAGCCUCUGGAAGCCUCUAGAAGGCGGCGUCGGGCCGGGCGGGACGGGCCGUCGUGCUUGGGGCUCCCCCGGCUGAGCCGGGGCCACGGCAGCUCAUGGGUGCAGGAGAGGCGGUCAUGGGAACUGCUGCCCGAGACGAAGCCUGAGACCCCCAUCCACUCCCGAGCGUGGCUGCAGCGGAGCGACUUGACUGAGCAGGGCUGUGGG